UCCCUGGUGGUCCAGUGGUAAGGACUCAGGCUUGCACUGCCAUGGCCCAGGUUCAAGCCCUUGUCGGGGAA
rnacentral:tRNA from 1 species